CGGAACCGGCAAUCCCGGAAGUGGCGGAACCAAAAAUGCCGGAACCAAAAAUUCCGGAAAUGGAGGAACCCGGAACGCCGGAAAUGGCGGACCCGGAAGUGUCGGAAUUGCCGGAAGCGGAAGUGUCGGAAUCGGGAAGUUUUUGGGGGUUUUGGGGGGGGGAGAAGAAGUCCAGGUUGUCCUUGGCCAGGAAUUGGAGGGACUGGAGGAGAUCCAUGGUGGGAUUGGGGGGGGUUACUGGUUUAUACUGGUUUGUACUGGGAGGGGUUAAAAGGGGGUUUGGGGGUUACUGGUUUAUACUGGGAGGGACUGGGAGGGACUGGGAGGGGUUAAAAGGAGAUUUGAGGGUUACUGGUUUAUACUGGUUUGUACUGGGAGGGGAUUGGGAUAAACUGGGAGGGACUGGGAGGGAACUGGGAGGGAGUUUGGGGUUACUGGUUUAUACUGGUUUGUACUGGGAGGGGGUUAAAAGGGGGUUGGGGGUUACUGGUUUAUACUGGGAUGGGGUUUGGGGUUACUGGGAUGGACUGGGAGGGUCCUGGAAGGUCCAAACUGGUUCAAACCGGUUCCAACUGGUCCAAACUGGUCCAAACUGGUCCUGGAAGAUUCUAAACUGGUCCAAACUGGUUCUGGGAGGGUCCUGGAAGGUCCAAACUUUUCAAACUGGUCCUGGGUGGUUCGAAACCGGUUCCAACUGGUUCAAACUGGUCUUGGGGGGGGUCCUGGAGCGGUUCCAAACUGGUCCAAACUUGUCCUGGAAGAUUCU
rnacentral:lncRNA from 1 species